GUGCCAGCCGCCGCGGUAAUACGUAGGUGGCAAGCGUUAUCCGGAAUUAUUGGGCGUAAAGCGCGCGCAGGUGGUUUCUUAAGUCUGAUGUGAAAGCCCACGGCUCAACCGUGGAGGGUCAUUGGAUACUGGGAGACUUGAGUGCAGAAGAGGAAAGUGGAAUUCCAUGUGUAGCGGUGAAAUACGUAGAGAUAGGGAGGAACACCAGUGGCGUAGGCGUGUUUCUGGUCUGU
rnacentral:rRNA from 1 species